UUACCAAACAUGCCUUGGAUUUAUUUAAAUGUUUCCUUAAACUCUUCAGACUAAUCAUCUCCCCAAAGACACGACAAAUAUCUUAGAAUAAUAAAGGGAAAACAAAUUCAACAUCAUCAUUAAUAAACCGCUCUAACAAAAACAAAAUAAGGAUUAGAAAAUGUGUUUUGUUCUAAACACGAAGAAACAUCAAAAUCCGAUUGACUAAAACAUCAUUGAAUAUUUCAAAUUAUUAUUCCACAACAAAAGAGAAUGGAAAUAGUUGAACAAUACAAACAAAGAAUGCACUAUAGUGCGCGUGUGUGUGCGCGCGCGUGGGGGGGUGUCGCCAGGUAGGACAGGUUAGGGCGAGGCGUGGGACAGGAAAGACAGAGAGGGAGACAGAUUUACACCUCAGCUGUUUAUUUCACCUCCUCCUCCUCCUCAGAAGAGAGAACACGGGCUAAAACAGGAGAAGAAGAAGAGAAAACAGCAUUAAACAGAAGAAGAAGAGAGAACGGGGUAAAACAGGAGAAGAAGAAGAGAAAACAGCAUUAAACAGAAGAAGAAGAGAAAACGGGGUAAAACAGGAGAAGAAGAAGAGAAAACGGGAUAAAACAGGAGAAGAAGAAGAGAAAACAGCAUUAAACAGAAGAAGAAGAGAAAACGGGGUAAAACAGGAGAAGAAGAAGAGAAAACGGGAUAAAACAGGAGAAGAAGAAGUUGAUGUUUCCUCUAAAGACCGAAGAAGAAGAGCUCUCCAGGUGAAUCAGAAUUCUCUCGCCCAAUUGGAAAGGUUUCUGAUUGGUUGAUUGGACCUCUUUAGCCCCGCCCUCCCGCGACUCAUCGCAAUGUCCUCUAACAUCAACGUCUCCCCCGACAACCCGUAUGGUCAGGUGACCAUACCCCGGGCUAAGCUCCGCCUGUCUGAUGACGUCUCCACGGUGAUAGCCAAUCCGGGGGCUCUGAGCAGCAACGACCGUAACCCGUACGCCGCGUCGAGCUCCUCCUCCCCCCCGUACGUGGUGAAGGAGGCCAGUGGCGAGGACGAGGGGCAGGGGAGGUGCCCCGCCUGCUGCUACCGCUGCAGGAGGAGGAAGUGAUGUCACAGCAGGAGGAAGUGAUGUCAUGGCGGCAGGAGAAUUGGAACCCUGCUUUUCAUUAUGCUAACGUGUCUCCUUGCGUCCUAGCUCCUCGCAGCGAGGAUGUAAAGAAGGAGAGGCAACGCAAACCAGUAGUCCUUGUUUCCAUGGCGACCGUGCCUGUUGCCUCCCUUCACACCAUGUUUACACAGAAACGACUGUGCUUCCUCCCCAUGAGCUCCUCCUUGACUCCUCGUCUCCUUUUAUUGAUCGGAGGAUCCUCCAGGAAGCUAAAGUUAGCAUAAUGACAAAAACCAUAAAAUAUUUAAACUUCCUGUUUGACUCUCAAGAGAAGAAAGAAGUUUUAGAAGAUCCUCAAAAUGAGAUUCAGCAUCAGAAAUAAUAUAAUUAAGAGUUAAUGCAGAAAAAUAGAUGUGAGAAUAUUAAAUAAUAAAAGCUUUUGAUAUAUUUAAAGAAAAGAUUAAAUAACCUUUAUUAAUGUUGUCAUGGUUAUUAAUUAUUACUCUUUAAUGAGUCAACAUAAAUGAGAACGAUGGGCAGCAAAUUGGCAGU